UUUUCCCCCCGACAUGGUUCUUCCUCUUCCUCUUCCGCUUCCGCUCUGAUCACACUUCGCGCCAAGGAGGAUUUUUUUUUAUUUUGUUUAAUUAAAGGAGCUGCUGGUGUAAACUAGUCUCAUCACGAUCAAUAAGAAAGAAAAACUCAUUUAUUUUGUUGUGGAUUAUGGACAUCAGGCGGUUCUUUGUAUCAAGCAAACCCGCAGCACAGAAACCAUCUCAGGAUGGAACCCUCCACACGGAGAAGGAAUCUACGAAGAAGAAGAAGAAAUCCGUCUCAACAGACGAAGAAGUAAAGAAGAAGAAACCUGCCACCAAGGUAUUUAUUAUUAUAAACCAGAGUCUCUAGUCAGUGAACUGGUCGACCACCAAGGUAUUAAUAUAAACCAGAGUCUCUAGUCAGUGAACUGGUCGACCACCAAGGUAUUAAUAUAAACC